rnacentral:rRNA from 1 species
CAGCCGCCACGGGAAUACGGAGGGUGCAAGCGUUAAUCGGAAUUACUGGGCGUAAAGCGCACGCAGGCGGUUUGUUAAGUCAGAUGUGAAAUCCCCGAGCUUAACUUGGGAACUGCAUUUGAAACUGGCAAGCUAGAGUCUUGUAGAGGGGGGUAGAAUUCCAGGUGUAGCGGUGAAAUGCGUAGAGAUCUGGAGGAAUACCGGUGGCGAAGGCGGCCCCCUGGACAAAGACUGACGCUCAGGUGCGAAAGCGUGGGGAGCAAACAGGAUUAGAUACCCCAGUAGUCCCUGUCUCUUAUAU